AACGUAGGGGGCAAGCGUUAUCCGGAUUUACUGGGCGUAAAGGGCGCGUAGGCGGCAAUUCAAGUCAGCUGUGAAAUCUCCGGGCUUAACUCGGAACGGUCAGCUGAUACUGCUUUGCUAGAGUGCAGAAGGGGCAAUCGGAAUUCUUGGUGUAGCGGUGAAAUGCGCAGAUAUCAGGAGGAACACCGGUGGCGAAGGCGGUUCUCUGGGCCUGUACUGACGCUGAGGAACGAAAGCGUGGGGAGCGAACAGG
rnacentral:rRNA from 1 species